AACGAACGCUGGCGGCGUGGAUAAGACAUGCAAGUCGAACGGGACAAGUAGCAAUAUUUGUCUAGUGGCGAACGGGUGCGUAACACGUGGGCAACAUGCCUGGAAGAGCGGGAUAGCCCGGGGAAACUCGGAUUAAUACCGCAUGUGACAACGGGGCGGAUUCGCCCUGUUUUCAAAGGUGGGGACCGCAAGGCCUGCCGCUUCCAGAUUGGCCCGCGUCCUAUCAGCUAGUUGGCGGGGUAACGGCCCACCAAGGCGACGACGGGUAGCUGGUCUGAGAGGACGACCAGCCACACUGGAACUGAGACACGGUCCAGACACCUACGGGUGGCAGCAGUCGAGAAUCUUUCACAAUGGGGGAAACCCUGAUGGAGCGACGCCGCGUGGAGGAUGACGGUCUUCGGAUUGUAAACUCCUGUCAUGAAAGAACAAGCGGAGCGGGUGAACAGCCCGCCGAGUUGAUAGUAUUUCAAGAGGAAGGGACGGCUAACUUCGUGCCAGCAGCCGCGGUAACAC
rnacentral:rRNA from 1 species